UCUUACUAUUUUCUCUAGAUUAAUGUUAAGUAAUAAUCCAAUUUUCUAUUGGAUCAUUCGAUUAUUUGGUGAUAGGUUAUGGUACGAAUGAUGAUAAUUUGGAAACAUAUUUAAUGUAUUUGGAAUAUUACUUUUAAUUAAAAUCAUUCUGCGGAAAAAGUUCUCACGAAAAUAAAGAUAAACGGAUAUUCUGGAUCAUCAUAUUAUCAAGAGAUAUAUUUGUGUCUUUACGAUUUCCGCAUUUCUCUUUAUGGAAGGAAGGUUUUAUCUGGUUGAAUCGUCCUCACGAUUUCGACGGACGCAGCGCGUGCGAUGCAUUUUUAAGAUUCCAUUUCUGCCGAAAGAUGUUUCCAUUACAAAAAUGAUCAAAGUAGCGAUUAAUUGAAAAAAAAAGGAAUAUUAAUUGCUAACAUUUUCUUUUGAAAAUGUAAUUUAUUUCGUAUUAUAUUAUAUUAUAAAAUAUCAAAAGGACUAAAAUCAACAUAAAAAAGUAUAAAUAUUUUUAAUGAAAAAUAUACGCAAUUUCUGAAUAUUCAACUAAAUAGACAAUUCACUUCAAAAGAAGAAGAUCCAUUUUCCAUUUAAUCGACUAAUUGAACUCGGCCAGUUGAAAGGUUAAUACCCAACUAAAUAAACAUUAGAUACAAGCGAAUCGAGAUCAAGAAGCAAAAAAGAGGCGAAACUAAGCCGAGGAUACGAUGAAACUGCGUUUAGCCACGACAUCGAAAGAAGCGGGAGCAGCAGCAUUCCGCAGGGCAUAACUUAAGCGAGCCCUGAGCUCACGAAGAGAAGAGACGGGUCACGACGCCAUGUGUGCGGCCUACCAACCACACCCACCACCUAUUUAUUUAUGUCUACCUCACGGCUUUUUGUUCGUACCUUCAAGCUUUCAUUGCACCGUGAACAACGUGAACAAUCGAGGAGAGCCGCCUGCUCUACCGGAAAAAUCUUCUUUCCGAAGGAAUCGUCCUUCGAGCAAGCCCGUUUCGAAUUAUUUGUAAAACAGUGCUCGCACAGAACACUCUUGCUAUCUUGGAAAAUAGAGUACUACGGAAUGAAUAACAUGAACGUCAGGCGCGAGCAUAAAGUCGAUCUUCCGUUUCCGGCGAAGAAACGGAGGCCGUUGCCGUGAUUUUUCCCUUGGAGAGCAUGGUUGGCCGGGGUCAGGUUCUAUCGAAGGCUCUGGUUGAACGUUUUCUAAGGCCGUGUGCAACGCCGUUCAUGACUUAACACGGUGCUUGGGUUCGGCUGUGCUUUGGCGGUUCAGGUCUACUCGGGACAAUGCCGCAUUGUUUCAUCGUCGUAGCUAUCUAGUCGGCACGGUAGCGGUCC